AGUAGGGUGCCAUCAAGAGGUGUAUUUGGAAAUAUCCC
rnacentral:rRNA from 1 species